AUACGGAAGGUCCGGGCGUUAUCCGGAUUUAUUGGGUUUAAAGGGAGCGUAGGCCGGAGAUUAAGCGUGUUGUGAAAUGUAGAUGCUCAACAUCUGAACUGCAGCGCGAACUGGUUUCCUUGAGUACGCACAAAGUGGGCGGAAUUCGUGGUGUAGCGGUGAAAUGCUUAGAUAUCACGAAGAACUCCGAUUGCGAAGGCAGCUCACUGGAGCGCAACUGACGCUGAAGCUCGAAAGUGCGGGUAUCGAACAGGAUUAGAUACCCUGGUAGUCCGCACGGUAAACGAUGGAUGCCCGCUGUUGGUCUGAAUAGGUCAGCGGCCAAGCGAAAGCAUUAAGCAUCCCACCUGGGGAGUACGCCGGCAACGGUGAAACUCAAAGGAAUUGACGGGGGCCCGCACAAGCGGAGGAACAUGUGGUUUAAUUCGAUGAUACGCGAGGAACCUUACCCGGGCUUGAAUUGCAGAGGAAGGAUUUGGAGACAAUGACGCCCUUCGGGGCCUCUGUGAAGGUGCUGCAUGGUUGUCGUCAGCUCGUGCCGUGAGGUGUCGGCUUAAGUGCCAUAACGAGCGCAACCCCUCUCCUUAGUUGCCAUCAGGUUAAGCUGGGCACUCUGGGGACACUGCCACCGUAAGGUGUGAGGAAGGUGGGGAUGACGUCAAAUCAGCACGGCCCUUACGUUCGGGGCUACACACGUGUUACAAUGGCAGGUACAGAGAGACGGUCCCUUGCAAAAUGGAUCAAAUCCUUAAAGCCUGUCUCAGUUCGGACUGGGGUCUGCAACCCGACCCCACGAAGCUGGAUUCGCUAGUAAUCGCGCAUCAGCCAUGGCGCGGUGAAUACGUUCCCGGGCCUUGUACACACCGCCCGUCGAGCCAUGAAAGCCGGGGGCGCCUAAAGUCCGUGACCGUAAGGAGCGGCCUAGGGCGAAACUGGUAAUAGGGGCU
rnacentral:rRNA from 1 species